rnacentral:rRNA from 1 species
UACGUAGGCAGCGAGCGUUGUUCGGAAUUACUGGGCGUAAAGCGUGCGUAGGCGGUCGGCUAAGGUUGGUGUGAAAUCUCCCGGCUCAACCGGGAGGGUGCGCCGAAAACUGGCCGGCUAGAGUGCGGGAGAGGGAAGUGGAAUUCCUGGUGUAGCGGUGAAAUGCGUAGAUAUCAGGAGGAACACCGGUGGUGAAGACGGCUUCCUGGACCGUGACUGACGCUGAGGCAAGAAAGCGUGGGGAGCAAACAGG